rnacentral:lncRNA from 1 species
CUUCUCUACAUCUCGCGCUUUGAUCUCUCUCGCCUAUGAAGAAUGGGCGGAGUUGGCGUCGCACCUCUGUUGGCAUCGCACUUCUGCUGUGGUUUUGAGAAGACGAUGGUGUUGGUGACGUGGCUGUGGUGAUGUGAGCGGCGCUAUUAGGUUCUGUGAACGAGGUGCUGCUGAUGGUUGUGAAGCAGUGCUGGCGUAGCCGAAUUUAUGGUUUUGGAUCUGUGGCGCCGUUGAUGGUUGUGAGGCGAUGUUGGCAUGGCGAGGAGGUGGUGCCGGAUUUGUGGUUUUGGAUCAGUGGUUGUCAGUGGGGUUCGUGAUUAGGUAUGGUUGGAUUUGAGUUUUGGAUCUGUGUUUUGGUGGUUGCCACUGUCAUUGGUGGUGCGGUGCGAUGUGUUUGGUGGGUGAGCGAUGAUGAACGGUGGUGGUGGGAACAGUGGUUGUGAUUAUAGUGGCGACGGCGUGGUAGAUUUGUGGAGUUUUGUGGUUGGUCUGCCGUGAUGGUGAGAUGUGGUAGGGAUGGUUAUGGUGAUGUGGCGGUGACAGUGGUGUUGGUGUGGCGGCGGCGACGAUGGCAUUGAUAAUUUUGGAGUUGAUUUUUUGUUUGAGACUAUAACGUUGUUGUCGAUGAUGGUGCUGGUGGUUCAGGCGAUGGUGUUGUUGAAGGGAGUGGUGGUCACGUAUUAUUUGAUUGAUCGUGAUCAUUAAAUUAGUUAACCUGUGAUCAAUAAACAAUAUGUGAUCACUAAAAAUGAUAAAUUAUGAUCGAGAAUAGUGUGUGACCUAAAAAUAAUAAUAUGUGACUUAUAAUAUUUGUGAUCUGUGACUUAUGUGACCAACAAACAAAUCGUGACCUAGAAAAAUUUUGAAUUGUGACCUUAAAAAAUCUUCAUUUACGAUCGAAAAAUAAUUUGUGACUUAUAAAAUUUUUUAUUUGUGAC